rnacentral:misc_RNA from 1 species
GGGAAAUCCAACAUUUUUUUCACCCUUGUACACUUUUCCUUAGAAUUGGAUCUUAUGUGUGCAAUGCUUGUUAUAGCAACCACUCACGCACUUUUGGCUACCGUUGUAAAAGGUGCGACUUUGAUUUGGACGUUGACUGUGCUCGACUUUCCACCAUGAAAUCAGAAGGUGAUGAAGAUCAGAUUCAACAUUAUAGUCAUCGGCAUCCUUUGAAGUUUCUUGCUAAGAUGGGAGAUGAAGUUUUGUGCCAAAUAUGUGAAAAGGUCUGCUCAGAUAAUGUGUAUAAUUGCCGACCGUGCAACUUUUAUAUUCACAAAUCUUGCAAGGAUAUGUUACCUCAAAAGCUUCAAGUCUUCUUUCAUCCAUGCCAACUCGUUUUGCUCACAACCCCUUCUUAUUAUUGUGAUGCUUGUGAAAAGGACUCCUCAGGCUUGACUUUCCGCUGUGGUAAGUGUUAUUUUCAACUCUGUGUUAAAUGUUUUCUCUUGAGUAGUGCAACAAAAACUGGAGAAAAGCAAAUUCAACAUUUUAGUCACUGGCAUCCUCUUAUGCACUUUGAAACAAUGGAAGAGCAUGAAGUUUCUUGUGGAAUUUGUACAAAGUUAUGCUCGGCACCUACUUAUGGUUGUCAAGGAUGUAACUUUUACCUACAUAAAUUUUGCAUGGAGACUUUAGAGAAGGAGAUUCAACUCUUCUUUCAUCCCUGUUCCCUCAUUUCGCUCUCAACUCCAUCUUAUACAUGUGAUGCUUGUGGGAUAGACCGUUCAGGUGUGUACUUCCGCUGUUGCUCGUGUCGUUUCAAACUCUGUAUUGCAUGUUCCAGAAUGUGUAAAAUAAUAGAUAAAGAUUAUGAGGAUGAUGAAGAUGAUGUAGAAUUCGAAGUUGUAGAGUGGCAGCGGGUUGAACAUUUUAGUCACCAUCAUCCUUUGAUUCUGGUCAAGAUGACAUCGGAAAAUUAUUUUGAAUCUACCUGUAAAAUAUGUGGAAAGCCCUUCUCAGAUGCUACCUGCUUUUUCUGUUUUCGCUGCAAACUUUGCUUCCAUAAAUCUUGCAUGGACAGGUUACCCCGAAAGAUUGAUCAACAUUUCUUUCAUUCAUGCUCUCUAAUUUUGCUCACAACCCCAUCCUACAAGUGUGAUGCAUGCGAAAAAAACUGUUCACAAUUGACCUUUCGCUGUGGCAAGUGUCAGUUCCAUCUGUGUCUUGAAUGUUCCUUGCUGCCAAGAAUAAAACCUGGGGCUUUUGAGAAGAUCCAGCAUUUCCUCCAUGAGCAUCCACUCAUACUUAGUGAGAAGAAAGUUGUUGAGGUUCCCUGCAAUGCAUGCGGAGCUCCUUGCUUUGGUUCUACAUAUGGUUGCAGCCGAUGCAACUUGAUUUUACACAAAUCAUGUGCUGAAUUACCACAAACUAUCAGAAACUCUCAUUUGUCUCACUCUCUCACCUUGGCUUCUCUAAAUUCAAAGGAAAGACGAGUAACGAGUGAAAAAUCAAGAAAGGCAAGGUGCCGCUUAUGUCUCAGGGACUGUUGUGACUUUGCCUUUCGCUGUAACAAAUGCGAUUUCCAGCUGGAUGUUGAGUGUGCUUUACUAAAGCCCCGAAUAGAAUAUCCUGGUCACAAUCACCUUCUUACUGUUGUGGAGAAAAUACAUGAUGAACUCAAAUGCAACUUUUGCAAAACUUGUUGCAAAGACUCUGCUGCAUUUCGUUGUCUGGAAUGCAAUUUCAGUCUUCACCUUCUGUGUGGCCCAUUGCCCUGUACCAUUAAACAUAAAUGUCACAUAGAUACCCUUACACUCAAGGAUCAAUAUGUUGAGGAUGACGACGAAGAUGAUGAUUUUUAUUGCGAUGUUUGCGAGAGACAAAGGGAUCCAAAACUUUGCGUUUACUAUUGUUCAGAAGGUUGCCCAAUGAUUGCUGAAGUAAAAUGUGUAAUUUCUGAGGUUAUGGCAUCACUAAAAGGAAAGCGGGGAAAUGUGGAAUUGAGAAUUGUGGGUAGGUACAUCUCUAGUAAGAUGAUUAGCAAAGAACUGGCAAUAGAAGAGACGGAGCAAAAUGAAAUAGUUAAGGAUGCUAGCAAAUCAAAAUAUAUAGAAAGCAUGGCUGUUCUAUUUGAUGAUAUACUGGUUUCCCUGGAGGCUGCUGAGCGAAAGCAACUUGAUGAUAUUGAAGAAGCUAUACGAAAGGGAAUAGAAACAAAUAUUACCUCACUUGAAAGCAGCAGCGAAUAUACUUCUUCUUUUGCAUAUUCAGAGGAAGCCUUCAAAAGAUUCAUGGAUAGGCUGGAUUCUGUCAUUUUGGACUAUCAGAUUCCAGAUUUUAUUCUGGAACAUGAAGAAUUCAUCACUUUCCAGGAUUACUUGAUCCCUCGCACACUUAUCCCCACCUUUCAAGAUUUGCUUAGCAAGAAUGAGGAUAUCUGUGCUGGGUCCAUGUUAAGUCCAAAAGCAAAGUCGUUAAUCUUUUAUUUUCUAUGUGGUGUUAUAGAGAACAUGCGUGCAACUAGAAUUGUGGAUAUCACUGAUCAAAAACUCGGCGAAUGGUUUGCAUGUCUGAAAUGGGUGAAAUAUGUUGGCUUCAAAUUUCAGUUCAUUUUUGAACAUAUGAAAUACUUGGCACAUGCUCACUUUGUGGUUCAGGCUAGAAAGCGUGUGGAAGACUUUCCUGUUCAACUAAAGCAAGAAAUUGCACAGAUUUCUCAGGAGAUCGAUAAACUGAAAGUAAAAUUAAGAGAACUUGAGGAUCAACAAGAGUUCUAUCAAAGACAGGAGAAAUCUAUAAGAAGCAGCUUAACGAAGCAGCACUGUGAUGUCCCUUCAGCAAUAAAAUGGAAGCCUGCGGCUGAUGGGUUGCUAUGACACGUAAAUAGAUGUCUUGCCGUUGGCUGUCCAGGUAAUUUCCUGCAGUUGGGUUUGGUAGGAAUGAUCAUAAAUGGUCUUAGGAAUAGGUUUUUCAGUGUGUAGUGUUCUGUUUUAUAUUUUGUGUUUUCUGUUUGGUAUGGAUAUGGAUAGAAUUGGAGCAUUUUUACCUAAUGCAAUGAAAUAAAUUCAGUUUAUAUUUAAUUAUGUUAGAAGAAAGAAUACAAGUA